rnacentral:lncRNA from 1 species
CUUAUCUAGCAUAGCCUGUGUAAACAGGAGAUAUUUUUAAUAAAAAGUUGAAAUGAAUUAAAAGUAGUAAGAAGUUUAAAAGAUAUAUAUUCAAUAAGUAAAAAGGUCAAAAAGUUAGUAUGAGUCUAAAUUCCUUUCCCUCAAUGAUCUUUUUUCCAAUAGCUUUACUGAAACAAAAUAAGCUGCACGUAUUUAAUGUAUACACUAUAAGUUAUGACAUAUUUACAUAGCUAUGAAGCCAUCACCACAAUCAUGAUAAUGAACAUAUCCAUAGCCCCUAAUGCUUUCUUUGUUCCUUCUCUCACUUUGCAAGUCCUCUCUUUUCCCUAAACACUGCAUGCUGCUUCCUGGCAAUCUUUUUCUACUUUUUUUUUUAUUUUUUGAGCAUGGAGUCUCACUCUGUCGUCCAAGCUGGAGUGCAGUGGCGCGAUCCUGGCUCACCGCAACCUCCGCCUCCCAGGUUCAAGCAAUUCUCCUGCCUCAGCCUCCUGAGUAGUUGAGACUACAGGCACGUGCCACCACGCCCAGCUAAUUUUUUGUAUUUUUAGUAGACACAGGGUUUCACCAUGUUGCCCAGGCUGGUCUCGAACUCCUGAGCUCAGGCAAUCUGCCCACCUUGGCCUCCCACAGUGCUGGGAUUACAGGCGUGAGCCACCGCACCCAGCCUCUGGCAAUCUUUAAUCUACUUUAGGUCACUGUAUAUUUUUGGUUUUUCAUCUUUUUUAAAAUGAUGAAUAAUAAUUGUAUAUAUUUAUGGGGCACAAUGUGAUAUUAUGACACAUGUAUACAUUGAGUAGUGAUUAAAUCAGGCUAAAUAAAAUAUCUCACAUACUUAUUUCUUUGCGGUGAGAUCACUUGAAAUUUACUUGUACAGCAACUUUGAAAUAUAUAAUACAUUAUUAUGAACCAUAUUCAACUUGCUACACAAAAGAUCACUAGAACCUGUCUAACUGAAACAUUAUCCUUUGACCAGUGUUGUCCCUUUCCCUUUCCCACCCUUAUACCCCAAACCUUUGGGAAUCAAAACUCUAUUAUAUACUGCUAUGAGUUUGGCUUUUUGUUGUUGUUAUGGUUAAAAGAAACCUUUUAUUUAAAAACAAUAUGACAUUUUAAUUUUAAUUAGCAUUCAUUAAGUAGCCAGUUUUUAAUUCCUGGGGAGCAAAUAUGUACAAAUAUCAAGCACUAAAUAAUUGAUAAUUACUAAUGUACUUAACAUUAGGUAAUUUAGUGUCUUCCUCCUUUCCAAUUUCUAUGCCUUUUUUUUCUUUCUCUUGCUUACUUGCUCUGGCUAGGACUUCCAGUACUAUGUUGAAUAGAGAAAGUGGUGAAAGCGGGCAUCCUUGUCUUAUUCUAGAUCACAGAAGAAAAGCUUUCCAUUUUUCCUUGUUUAGUAUGCUGUCUGUGAGUCUGUCAUGUGGUCUUUAUUAUGUUGAGGUACAUCUGUUCUGUCUAUAUCAUGAGAGUUUUUAUCAUGAAUGAGUGUUGAAUUUUGUCAGAUGCUUUAUCUGUGUCUAUUGAAAUAACUGUAUAAUUUUUUCCCUUAAUUCUGUUAAUGUAUCACAUUUACCGAUUUGCAUAUGUUAAACCAUUCUUGCAUCCCUGGGAUGAAUCCCACUUAGUCAUGAUGUUAUCUUUUUAAUGUGCUAUUGAAUUUAGUUUCCUAGUAGUUUGUUGAGGAUUUAUGCAUCCAUGUUCAAUCAGAGACACUGUCCUACAAUUUUCUUUUUUGUUGUGUUCUUGUCUGGUUUUCUUAUCAAGGCCUUGAAAAUAAAUUUGGAAGAAUUCUCUCCUCUCCAUUUUUCUGAAAUAGUUUUAAAAGGACUGAGACUCAUUCUUCUUCAAAUGUUUGGUAGAAUUGAGCAGUGAAGCUGUCAUGUAAUGGACUUUUCUUCAAUGGGAGACUUUUUAUUACUGAUUUGAACUCAGAGUUGUUACUGGUUUCUUCAGAUUUUCUAUUCAUGAUUCAAUUUUGGUAGGUUGUAUGUGACUAGGAAUUUACCCAUUUCUUCUAGGUUUUCCAAAUAGUUGCCUUAUAGUUGUUAGUAAUAGGCUCUUAUGAUCCCUUAUAUUUCUGUAAUAUCAGCCAUAAUGUCACCUUUUCACAUCUCUGAAUUUGAAUCUUUUCCUUUUAAAAUUUUGUCUAGCUAGAAAUUUGUCGAUUUUUAUCUUUUCAAAACACUAACUCUUAAUUUCAUUAACGUUUUGUAUUUUUAAGCCUCUAUUUCACUUAUUUCUGCUAUGAUCUUUAUCAUUUCUCUUCUUCUAUUAACUUAAGGUUUAUUUUGUUCUCAUUUUUCCUAGUUCCUUGAGGAAUAAUGUUAUUGGUGGUUUACUGGAGAUCUUUCUCACUUACUAACGUAGACAAUUAUUGCUAUAAACUUCCCCAUUAGAACUGCUUUUGCUGUAGACCAUAGGUUUUAGUACAUUGCAUUUGCAUUCUCAUUUCUUUAAAUUUUUUUUUAAUUUCCCUUUUAGUAUCUCCUUUGACUCAUUUGUAGUUCAGAAGCAUGUUGUUUAAAAACUAUUUGCAUAUAGUUUCUAAAGAACCUAUUAUUGAUUUCUAGUUUAAUCCCUUGUCACAAAAGAUACUCCCCAACUUGAAAUUUUGUUUAUUAUUAUUAUUAUUAUCAUUAUUGUUAUUAUUUUUGAGAUGGAGUCUCGCUCUGUCACCCAGGUUGGAGCCCAGUGGCGUGAUCUCGGCUCACUGCAAGCUCCACCUCCCAGGUUCAAGCCAUUCUCCUGCCUCAGCCUCCUGAGUAGCUGGGAAUACAGGCGCCUGCCACCAUGCCUGGCUAAAUUUUUUGUAUUUUUAAUAGAGACAGGGUUUUACCGUGUUAGGCAGGAGGGUCUCAAUCUCCUGAUCUCGUGACCUGCCCACCUUGGCCUCCCAAAGUGCUGGGAUUACAGGUGUGAGCCAAGGCCCCCGGCUCCCAAUUUGAAAUUUUUUUAACUUAUUGAGACUUGUUUUGUGGCCCAACACAUGACAUAUCUUAAAGAAAGGUCCAUGUGCUAAUGAAAAAAAUGUGGGCCAGGCGUGGUGGCUCACGCCUGUAAUCCCAGCACUUUGAGAGGCCAAGAUGGGUGGAUCACCUGAGGUCAGGAAUUCGUGACCAGCCUGACCAACAUGGUGAAACCCCAUCUCUACUAACUACAAAAAAGUAGCCGGGUGUGGUGACACAUGCCUGUAACCCCAGCUAUUUGGGAGGUUGAGGCAGGAGAAUCGCUUGAACUCGGGAGGUGGAGAUUGCAGCAAGCCGAGAUCGUGUCACUGCACUCCAGUCUAGGUGAAGAAUGAAACUUAGUCUCAAAAAAAAAAGAAAAAAAGAAAAAGAAAAAAAUGUGUAUUCUACAACUGCUGGGCAGAAUGUUUUGUAAAUGUCUGUUAGGUUCAUAUAUCUUGAGUGCAGUUUAACUCUAUCGUUCUUUGCUGAUUUUCUGUCUGGUUGUCCUAUCCAUUGCUGAAAGUGGAGUGUUGAUGUCCCCUAUAAUUACAGUAUUGCUAUCUCUCUCUCCCUUUAGGGCUAAUAAUAUUUCCUUCACAUAUAUACAUGUGUAUAUAUACACAUAUAUACAUGUGUAUAUAUACACAUAUAUACAUGUGUAUAUAUACACAUAUAUACACAUAUAUAUACAUAUACGUAUACACAUAUAUACAUAUAUACAUAUACGUAUACACGUGUAUGUACAUAUAUACGUAUAUACGUAUAUGUACAUAUAUACGUAUAUGUACAUAUAUACUUACAUGUAUAUAUACAUAUAUACGUAUAUACGUGUAUAUGGAUAUAUACGUAUAUACAUAUCUAUGUAUAUGUAUAUAUAGAUACGUAUAUACAUGUAUAUCUAUAUAUAACCUUUCUUCCUCUCUUACUAUUUAUCUGUCUGUUUUGGUGGUUUUCUGGAGAGUUAAGCUUUAAUUCUUUUCUCUUUCUUAUUUAUGUAUCUGCUGUCGUUUUGUUCUUUCAGGUUACUAUGGGGCUUACAUUUUAAAAUCUUGUAUUUAUAAUGGACUAUUUUAAACAGAUAACAACUUUGCAUACAAAUACGCUAGACUUUUAUCCCCAUCCCCCCACAAUUUAUAACUUGCUGCCUUAAUUUACAUCUUUUUAAAAUCAUGUGUUACUUAACAUUUAAUUGUAGCUAUAGACAUCACUUACCAUUUUGAGUUAUAACCAUCAUACUAGAGAUUUAAAAGACUAUAUGCCACCAUUACAUUAAUAAUAUAUUCUGAGUUUGAAAGUGAAAUUACCUCUAACAGUUCUAAAUUGGAUUCUGAAUUGACUUCUACCAGUGAGUUUUAUUCUUUUGCAUAUUUUUAUCACGGUAGUUAUCUUACCAUAUUUCUUGUGUCCCCGUAUUGACCUGUGCCAUUAGGUGAAACAGCUGCCUCUUCCAAUUUUAUGGGGUAACUUUCUUAAGAAGACAUUUUCUGUAGAUGGAUCCUAAGGUGGUAAAUGGGUAGGGUGCUUUAGCUUUGGUUCUAGGUAGGUGCAGCAGUGUAGUCUCUGUGUAAUUUCUUUACCUGUAGUCAACAUCCGAUGUUACUGCCUCAGUGACUUAGGCUACGGGUGUUUACAAAGUUGGUGUGCUUUUCCAGUACUAUGUUGGUGCCACCAAGCAAGCCAGUCCUCUGGUCCUGGGGGGCAUGCGCAAGGCAUGAGUGACAGUUCCAAGCCAUGCACCGUGGUAUAUGCCUAUAAUCCCAGCAACUUGGGAGGCUGAGGCUGGAGGAUCACUUGAACUGAGGAGUUCAAGUCCAGACAGGGCAACAUAAUGAGACCCUGCAUAUUUUUGUUUGUUUGUUUUAAAGUGCAGUGGGCCAGACACAGUGGUUCACACCUGUAACCCCAGCACUUUGGGAGGCCGAGGCAGAAAGACUGCUUGAGGUCAGAAGUUCAAGACAAGUUCAGGCAAUAGAGUGAGAUCCUGUCUACCAAAAACAGAAAAAUUAGCCGGGCAUGGUGGUACAUGCCUAUAUUUCCAGCUACUUGGGAGGCUAAGGCACGAGAACUGAUUGAGCUUGGGAGGUAGAGGCUGCAGUGAGCCACGAUCGUACCACUGUACUCCAGCCUGGGUGACAGUGUGGCUGUGGGGAAAGCCGCCACACAAGCUAUCUUGAUGCCAAGGGUGUAUGUCCAAAGCAUGGUUGUUCUAGCAAAUGAAAAGGCAGUGUCACCAGGAGCAGAGCUACCAGACAGCCUGGCCCUCAGACCCUGCAGGGUACACAUGCAAAGCAUAGUGGUUCUGUAGGUUUCAGAGGUGGCAUCAUUGGAUACACACCAGUCCACUGGCUCUGGAAGGCACACACAAAAUGCACCAGUUCAGCCAGUUGUAGGGACAGCGUCAUCAGGGGUGGGGAUGCUGGGUGGGCUGAUCCUCAGGCCCUAAGACAUUUCUUUGGCAAAAUGUCUUUUGGCUAUUUUUAAAUUAAAUUAUUUGCUUUUUUGCUAUUAAGUUGUUUGGACUGCUUAUAUAUUCUAGACAUUAACCCACUGCCAUAUGCAUAGUCUGCAAAUAUUUUCUCCCAUUUACAGUUUGUCUCAUCAUUCUGUUGAUUAGUUCCUUUGCUGUGCAGAAGCUUUUGAGUUUGAUGCAAUCCCAUUUGUCUAUUACUGCUUUCGUUAUCUGUGUUUUGGGGGUCAUAGUCAAGAAAUCAACAGCCAGACCAAUGUCAUAGAGUUUUCCCCGUAUGUUUUAUUCUACAAUUGUCCCUCAAUAUCCAUGGGGAUUGGUUCCAGAACCACGCUGAGAUAACAAAAUAUGUACAUACUCAAAUCCCAUGGCCGGCCCUGCAGAACCCACAGGUACAAAAAGUUGGUCCUCCAUAAGGGUGGAUUUUGCAUCUCACAAAUACCAUAUUUUGAUCCACAUUUGGUCACAGAUGUAGAUCCCCCUGAUAUGGAUGACUGUAUUUAUUUUUUUUAAACCCAUGUAUAAGCGGACCUGCACAGCUCAAACCUGUGUUCAAGUUUAACAGUUUCAGGUCUUAUAUUUAAGUCUUUAACCUACUUGGUUGGAUUUUUUAUGUGGGGUGAGAUAUGGUCCCAAUUUCAUUCUUCUACAUGUGGAUAUCCAGUUUUCCCAACAUCAUUUAUUGAAGAGACUAUACUUUACUCAUUGUGUGUCCUUGGCACCUUUGUUUAAAGUCAACUAACCAUAAAUGUACGGGUUUACUUCUGAGCUUUUAAUACUUUUCCAUUGGUUAAUGUAUAUUUUCUUCUGCCAGCUCCAUGCUGUUUUGAUUACAAUACCUUUCUAAUAUAUAUAUAUAUAUAUAUAUAUAUAUAUUUUUUUUUUUUUUUUUUUUUUUUUUUUUUUUGAGGCGGAGUCUCGCUCUGUCGCCCAGGCCGGACUGCGGACUGC